rnacentral:lncRNA from 1 species
CAAAAAAGGCAUGUUGAGUUUUUUACAUAGUCAUGUUUCUUUGUUGUAGGCUCAAGAUCCCAAGCUUUCCAGAUGCUUGAUAGCACUUCGGGUACAAGAUUCUGAUGAGGAUGGAAGAGAACCCAAUCUCUGUCUUUUCAACCUUGAGUUUGAUAACAUAGGUUAGCCAAAGCUGUCACUGAACUCCAAGGACAAGGCUUCACUAUGAAAGUUCUGCACAGCUCUAGUCACCAGUUUACAAAUGGAGAUGAAUAUUCAGUGGAGUACAGGAGUAUAUCAAGAAUUCACCAGUGACUGUGACCUUACACUCACUAGCUAACUAGUUAUUGCAAAAUAUUUUCCCCUUCCUUGGAAGGAUUACAGACUUUGAUAUCUUGGAUUUUCUAUAUUUUCAGUGUGGAAAUAAAUAGACAUGAAGUGCUUUUAUAACUGGAAGGCAAAGUCAUUACAGAUGACUACAAAUGUGAGGAAUAUUCUAACGUGUUGCAACUUGACGUCUAAAUCAUGAUUUGAGGACUU